AGGAAGGGUGGUGACAGGCAGCCAGCACAGGAGGCCACUUUUUCUGUGGGUGGAUAUAUGAAACCAGAGAAAAAUCUUGAACUGAGGGCCUGGGCUCCUCUCCUUCCCAGACUGGACACCACGGAGUGACUUUCCCUCUCUUCUACCGAGUUGGGUGCGACAGGGAAAGAAGGUGGACUAUCAUCUCCGAAUGCCUCUAAGGAACAGAAGCUCGUUUCUUAAGAGGAAGCAGAUGGUUGGUAUGAGGAAACGUCUGGUCCAGCAGGAGAAACAAGUUCUGCAGUUGCC